CAACAGUUAUCUCUCACCUCCAUC
rnacentral:siRNA from 1 species